UUACGGCCAUAUCAUGUUAAAACACCGGUUCUCAUACAAUCACAGAAGCUAAGCAACAUCGAGCCUGGUCAGUAUCUAGAUGAGUGACCACUUGGGAAUACCUGGUGCUGCACG